GACGAACGCUGGCGGCGUGCCUAAUACAUGCAAGUAGAACGCACAGUUUAUACCGUAGCUUGCUACACCAUAGACUGUGAGUUGCGAACGGGUGAGUAACGCGUAGGUAACCUGCCUGGUAGCGGGGGGUAACCAUUGGAAACGAUAGCUAAUACCGCAUAAUAUUGAUUAUUGCAUGAUAAUUGAUUGAAAGAUGCUAUUGCAUCACUACCAGAUGGACCUGCGUUGUAUUAGCUAGUAGGUGAGGUAACGGCUCACCUAGGCGACGAUACAUAGCCGACCUGAGAGGGUGAUCGGCCACACUGGGACUGGGACACGGCCCAGACUCCUACGGGAGGCAGCAGUAGGGAAUCUUCGGCAAUGGACGAAAGUCUGACCGAGCAACGCCGCGUGAGUGAAGAAGGUUUUCGGAUCGUAAAGCUCUGUUGUAAGAGAAGAACGGGUGUGAGAGUGGAAAGUUCACACUGUGACGGUAUCUUACCAGAAAGGGACGGCUAACUACGUG
rnacentral:rRNA from 1 species